rnacentral:rRNA from 1 species
GGUCGUUCUGCCCAUUGUUUUUAAAAGGCUGCAGUAUAUUAACUGUACAAAGGUAGCAAAAUAAAUAGUUUUUUAAUUGAAAACUUGAAUGAAAGAGUUGAUAAAAUAUAAAUUGUUUCAAAGAUUUAACUUAAAUUGAAAGUUAAAAUGCUUUUAUAUUUUUAUUAGACGAUAAGACCCUAAGAAUUUGAUUUUUUAAUUUAUUUUGAAAAAUUUAUUUAAAUUGAAUAAUUUUAUUGGGAGGAUAAUGAAAUAAAACUUUUGUUUAUUUAAAUAUAUUUAAAUAAAUUUAAUGAUUAUUUUUAAUAUUAUUAGAAUAAAUUACCUUAGGGAUAACAGCGUUAUAAUUUUGGAUAGUUCAUAUUGAUAAAAUUGUUUGCGACCUCGAUGUUGAAUUAAAAUAAAAUUUAAAU